GAUGAAGAACGCAGCGAAAUGCGAUAAGUAAUGUGAAUUGCAGAAUUCAGUGAAUCAUCGAAUCUUUGAACGCACAUUGUGCCCGCCAGUAUUCUGGCGGGCAUGCCUGUUCGAGCGUCAUUACAACCCUCAGGCCCCCGGGCCUGGCGUUGGGGAUCGGCGGAAGCCCCCUGUGGGCACACGCCGUCCCUCAAAUACAGUGGCGGUCCCGCCGCAGCUUCCAUUGCGUAGUAGCUAACACCUCGCAACUGGAGAGCGGCGCGGCCAUGCCGUAAAACACCCAACUUCUGAAUGUUGACCUCGAAUCAGGUAGGAAUACCCGCUGAACUUAAGCAUAUCAAUAAGCGGAGGA
rnacentral:misc_RNA from 1 species